CUGCUGCUGCUGCUAAUUUGGAUUUCUCAUCACGUCAAGGCGAGGCACAAACGCACCGCGCCGAUAUAGACAGCGACUCCAUUAAAUCAACAAUUUUGCCAGAAGAAAUAUUACCAUCAAUCGAUUUCAUAAAACACGAAGAAUUGGAAGUCACAAGUCCAAAAGAUACCGAUGAAACCUAUGUAAAGUCUAUUUCAAGUCGAAAGUC